UUAUGGCCAUAUCACAUUGAAACACUGGUUCUCAUACAAUCACUGAAGUUAAGCAACACUGACCCUGUUCAGUACCUAGAUGGGUGACUGUUUGGGAAUACCAGGUGCUGGAAG